GACAGGUUAAGCAGAGGGACUGAAUAAAAAAGAUCAAAUAUAUUGAAGAUUGUAUGUGGCUUUAAGAAGAUAGAAAAUAGUACUGUCAUAUUACAACCUGAAUUAGGACUACGUGCAAGAGAAGGAGAAGAUUUGAACGCUGAAUCUUCGUGCUCUGAGAGGAAUUUUUAACAGGUUUAGCUGAAGAAAAUUUGCAUCUGUAUUUGUCUCCAAUAAAACUACAUGGGGUGGGAAAAGAAUAUAAUUUCUUCAACCAUGAGAAACACCCACAGGAGUUUGUAUCUUUUUAAACAUCUGCUUCAAAUAAUGACAAGGAAAAAAAUGCCAGAAACCAAGUUUAGUUUUGCUAUUUUAAUGUAACUUGUCUUAAUAUUUAUGUAGUGUCCAGGAAAAAUGACGAGAAGAAAACAAGAAAGGAAGAUUGGAGGAGAAAAGAGAAUUGGCUGUGAUUAAAGAGAAGUUUUAAACAGCGGGUAGAUAGAAGUGGAAACAGUGGAUAGAUAUAUGAAGUAGAUUUUCUUUUCCAGAUAAAAUUUUCAUCUGUGUAUCGAAACAUCUUUUCAUCUAAAUGUCAUUGUAAUGUUCAGUGAAACAAGGGAACAUUUGUACGUCAGCUCCAUACAAUAGUGCUGUAAAGCAUAACUUCCAGGCUAUUUGAAUGGCUACCAAGGCAAGUAAUACACAAGUCAUUUCUGAAGUAAUAUACAAACAAAAGUAGAUUGUUACAUCCCAUGGGUUGAUUAUCUAUUGCUUUCAUUUGUUUUUCUAUGUUAUUAAAGUCUCAAAAGGCCUUAUGUAGGAGAAAGAGAAAGGAAAAACAUUAAAAUACAAAAGGAACAGAAAAAAUCUGAAGUAGUAACAGGGGGGUGGGAGGAAAUGUUAAAUGAGUAUUAUAAUAAAAAUAACAGCUAUUUAUUGAGAGCAAAAAACUCUUGGUGGGGUAAAC